UACGUAGGGGGCGAGCGUUGUCCGGAUUUAUUGGGCGUAAAGAGCUCGUAGGCGGUUCGGCAAGUCAGAUGUAAAAACUCCAGGCUCAACUUGGAGAGGCCAUCUGAUACUGCCGUGACUUGAGUUCGGUAGGGGAGACUGGAAUUCCUGGUGUAGCGGUGAAAUGCGCAGAUAUCAGGAGGAACACCGGUGGCGAAGGCGGGUCUCUGGGCCGAUACUGACGCUGAGGAGCGAAAGCGUGGGGAGCGAACAGG
rnacentral:rRNA from 1 species